AUGCUCCGGCCGUUCCCCUGCCCCCACCGCACGCCCGCCGCCGCCGCCGCCAGCCCGCCCCCCGCCGCCGCGGCCGCAGCCAUGGCGCCGUCCUCCUCCCGCUCCCACUCCCACUCCGGCGGCGGGGGCGGCGGCCACGUCUCCCUCUCCCUCUCGCCUUCCUCCUGCAGGCACACCCCCUCCUCGGCCACGCUCGAUCUCCUCAUCCUCCUGCUCGUGCUCUUCUCCCUCGCCUUCCUCCUCGCCUCCUCGCUCGCCCACGUCUCGCGCUCGCUCUCCCCGCUCCUCGCGUCGCCGCCCGCCGCCGCGGCGCUCGCCUCCGCCGCCGCCGCCCUGCCCUACUUCGCUGCCGGCCUCCCCUACGUCGCCGCAGCCGCGGUGCUCGCCACGGCCGCCUUCCUGUCCUGCCGACGCCUCCCUCGCCGCCGCUGCCGCAACCCGCGCUGCCGCGGGCUCCGGAAGGCGCUCGAGUUCGAUGUCCAGCUCCAGAGCGAGGAGGCCGUGCGGGCUGGCGGGGGGAGCACCGUUGGCGGCGCUGACGCCGCCAUGUGGCGCGAGAUCGAGACCUUGCCGUGGAAAGGGGGCCAGAGCGGGAACAAUCCGGACUACGAGUGCCUUCGCGCAGAGCUCCGCCGGAUGGCGCCGCCCAACGGCCGCGCUGUCCUGCUCUUCCGCAACCGCUGUGGCUGCCCGGUGGCCAAGCUCGAGGGCUGGGGCACCCCCAAAAGCAAGCGGCGGAAUAAGAAGGGCACGCAAGGUUCUUCACUGGACGGAGGGGUGCGAUAA
rnacentral:rRNA from 1 species